GGUUCGGUGGUGUAGUUGGUCAUCACGUCAGUCUAACACUUCUGUCGUUCACUGAAGGUCCCCGGUUCAAACCCGGGCCGAAUCA